ACGUAGGUGACCAGCGUUGUCCGGAUUUACUGGGCGUAAAGAGCGCGCAGGCGGUCGUUCAAGUCGAGUGUGAAAGCCCCCGGCUCAACUGGGGAGGGUCACUCGAUACUGAUCGACUUGAAGGCAGGAGAGGGAAGCGGAAUUCCCGGUGUAGUGGUGAAAUGCGUAGAGAUCCGGAGGAACACCAGUGGCGAAGGCGACACGCUGGGCCGUACCUGACGCUAAAGCGCGACAGCAUGGGGAGCAAACGGGA
rnacentral:rRNA from 1 species